rnacentral:misc_RNA from 1 species
GCCACGCCCGAAGUCGUUACUCCAACCCUUGUGGAGGAGGACGCCGAAGGUGGGGCUGAUGACUGGGGUGAAGUCGUAACAAGGUAGCCGUACCGGAAGGUGCGGCUGGAUCACCUCCUAACAGGGAGACAAAAUCGAUCAUGAUGUCUGAGUGCUGAGGUGGCAACGCCAUCGAGGCAACCAAUGAUCUUAGGCCAUGAUCCUGUCAUCUCUAGGUCGAUCGGUACCUCAACCGAGGUCUCUGCACCAAGCAGCGGGAGUCAUCCAGCUGAAAGGAGCAGAAGAUUCGGACCAGUUCCUAAACUUUGUCUAGGUCACCCCCGAGAGGGUAAAGACUCCUGGGCCAUUAGCUCAGGUGGUUAG